rnacentral:rRNA from 1 species
UACGUAGGGCGCAAGCGUUAUCCGGAAUUAUUGGGCGUAAAGAGCUCGUAGGCGGUUUGUCGCGUCUGCCGUGAAAGUCCGGGGCUCAACUCCGGAUCUGCGGUGGGUACGGGCAGACUAGAGUGAUGUAGGGGAGACUGGAAUUCCAGGUGUAGCGGUGAAAUGCGUAGAUAUCUGGAGGAACACCGGUGGCGAAGGCGGCAUCCUGGACCAUUACUGACGCUGAGGAGCGAAAGCCAGGGGAGCAAACGGG